rnacentral:piRNA from 1 species
GGAGAUUCUAGACCACUCCCUAGGAGAUAGC